rnacentral:rRNA from 1 species
AGUGAACGCUGGCGGUAGGCCUAACACGUGCAAGUCGAACGGCAGCACAGUAAGAGCUUGCUCUUACGGGUGGCGAGUGGCGGACGGGUGAGGAAUACAUCGGAAUCUACUUUUUCGUGGGGGAUAACGUAGGGAAACUUACGCUAAUACCGCAUACGACCUACGGGUGAAAGCAGGGGAUCUUCGGACCUUGCGCGAUUGAAUGAGCCGAUGUCGGAUUAGCUAGUUGGCGGGGUAAAGGCCCACCAAGGCGACGAUCCGUAGCUGGUCUGAGAGGAUGAUCAGCCACACUGGAACUGAGACACGGUCCAGACUCCUACGGGAGGCAACAGUGGGGAAUAUUGGACAAAGGGCGCAAGCCUGAUCCAGCCAUACCGCGUGGGUGAAGAAGGCCUUCGGGUUGUAAAGCCCUUUUGUUGGGAAAGAAAAGCAGCAGGUUAAUACCCCGCUGUUCUGACGGUACCCAAAGAAUAAGCACCGGCUAACUUCGUG